rnacentral:SRP_RNA from 8 species
GGAAACAGAGCAGGAAGUAGGGGUCAUUCUUGCACGAGGCAGGAACACUACUG